CCCCUUACUUACAGUCCCCUGCUGUAAACAACUUUUGUGUCUGGACGUACUUUGGAACUACUUAUAAACCUGAAUGAAAACCUUGUUGGAUUGAUACUCCCGACAAUAAGAAUGCCAAAGAGGAAGAGAGGUAGUAAGUUAACAAAAGGAGUUAAAAGGAAAAGGAAGCCUUUGCCAUGGCCAGCUGUUGAUCCUAUUAUGGAAGAGAUAUCUAGAUCUGUUGCAGUUUCAAACCACACUGAUGAUGCAAAGGAUGAGCAAUGUUUAAAUCAAGACACAUCUAUGCUCAAGUUUGUACAUUUUGAGGAAAUUACUAUUGCAUCAGCCAAAGACAAAGGGGAACUCUUGUUAGUUGAACUCAAAGACCACACUUAUGCAGCAAAAGAACAACCAUUUGAGAGUGAAAAUACAUGUAGGCCCGAAUUUGAUUGUCAGGAGGACUAUUUUCUAGCACCAGCGGAAGGCACAGAGCAACAGAUCACGCAAGAAAUUGAGAUAUUUGCAGUGAAUGAGACACAGACUGAACAUGCAGAACCGUGCCUUCCUCCCUUUCAGACUUUAUGCGGUUUGUUACAAGUUAGCAUCAACGAUCCGUAUAUCCUUAGCUGUACAGAUAAUGAAAUUCGUAUAGUUGAACUGUACCAGAUCAGUAGCAGGGACAUUAGCAUAAAACUCUCAGUUAUCAUUGACAGUAACUUUUGUGCCAAAAUAUAUGUACAUAGGAAGGAAGUGUCAAGAGACAAUGAUAUUUGGACAGGACUGCCAACUAAAUAUGAUAGCGUAGAAUCAGUGAGAAAAUUAUUAUCACGUCUUACUUGUUUUUCUGUCUGUGUCGGAAAUCCCGAUGAGAAAUAUCAAUUCAUUACUCCAGUUGGAUGUGGAAUCAGUGACAAGGUCACCAACACGAUUCGCAGCUACAGGGAAGGUAACUUCAGUGCCACAUCAGGGACUUUGUCAUACGUAUCAACAAUCAGAUCAGUUCAUUGUUCAUUGUUAGUCAAGGGAAACCGCUGUUCACAAUGUUUAGAUGAACGUCGCAUGUUAAGAAAGAGACACCAAAGAGCUGUAGAGCGUCAGAAUUUGCCUCCAACAACUUUUAUUCACAAGACAUUUCAACAUAAAAACAUGAGUAGAUCAAACUUGAUAGAAAAAAUCACCCAGCAGCAAGAUGAAAUAAAGUCAAUGUCAUUAGAAAUUAAGAAACUGAAGAGAAAAUGUAAGCAGGAAAUUCUCUAGGAUGGUGUUACAUAAGACCUCUAGUGCAGAACAUUGAAUUAAAAGACUUGGUGUCCACAUGUAAAGAUGAAUUUAAGAAAGCAAAAUAGACCCUUACAGUGAACAAAGACUUAUUUGGGAACAGCAGUGUAAAUUUGAGACGUCUGGCAAAAAUGGUAUGAGGUGACAUCCAAUGAUAUUGAGGUGGUGUCUUUAUAGGAGGAAAAAAGUGCCAAAACUUACGAUGCUAUGAGAGAUUCUGGAUUUAUACAAAUAAUACAACUACCCAGUGCAAGGACCCUAUUUGAUUAUUCACACUUUACUCAGAGUGCCUUGGGCUUUCAGCCAGAUGUUACCAAAAUGUUACAUGAGGAAGCAAAGAAAUUAAUUUUAGGUAUGUUUGAUGAGAAGUUCAAAAACUAUGUUGGCAUAUUGUUUGAUGAGUUCCAGAUAAUGAGGACAUAGUUUAUGACAAGAACACAGGAGAAUUAAUUGGAUACUGUGAUUUAGACUCUAUAUGUAACCAAAUCUGAUAGCCAUAAUUCAUAUUUAAAAACAUAAUAUAUAUACACAUGGUAAUCUACAUGUUGUACAUGUAAAUGUACAUUUGUAUCUGUUCAUAUAACACCUAAGGUACCAAACACCUUGACUUAAAUUAAUUUGGCUUGUUCAAUUUUCACAAAGUUUUUACAAAAUAUUUACUAUGAGCCUUUGACAAAAAUAUAAAAAGUUUAAUAAACUUGAACCAGUCCACAAACAUUAUCUGAAAAAUUUCAUGAGAUAUUUAGCAGUUUGACUAACACUUAUUUUAAUCAUUGAGAAGCUUAAUAUUUCCUUAACAAUAGAAUGUGAUUAAAACAUUCAGAUGAUUUUUUAUGCCCCCGCCGAAGCAGAGGGGGCAUUAAGUUUUACCCUUGUUCGUCUGUACGUACAUACGUACGUACAUACAUACGUCCAUCCGUACAUCCCAAAAUUAGUUUCCGUUCUCUAACUUAAGUUUGCCUCAACAAAAUGUUAUCAAACUUAUACACAAUGUUUAUUUAUACCACAUUAUACAGAUCAAGUUUGAAUUUUGGUGGGGACACUUUUACCAUUCUUGAGUUAUGUCCCUUUAUAAACAUAAAAAUUGCUGAAUUUUUCGUUUCCGUUUUCUAACUUUAGUUUGUCUCAACCAAAUGUUAUAAAACUUAUACACAACUGUUCUAGAGUUAUCCUUGUUUACAAAUAGAAAAAUUGCUGAAUUUUUAGUUUCUGUUCUCUACUAAAGUUAGCCUCAACCAAAUGUUAUGAGACUUACACACAAUGCUUAUUACCACAAAACUCAGAUCAAGUUCAAAUUUGGGUAGCGUCACUUUUACCGUUCUUCAGUUAUGUCCCUUUAUAACUAUAUGAUAUGCAAGCGGGGGCAUCAUCUGUGUCCACAUGUGGACACUAUCCACAUUUAUUUUGUAUUUCCUUUCUUCAAUUUUGUUGGAUUUCUCUUUACACAUGUUAGAUGCCAAAUUUGUAACCCUAUGGUCAUAUGCUGUAAGAAGAGAAAUUAUUGUAUAUGCAUGUACAUUAGAAAUACAUAUGUGAUAAUUAAAAUAUUAUUUAUACCUAUAACAUGUAUAA